CUGAACUACACUUAAGGAUGUAGGUAGACGACAACUUCUAGGUGAAUCUGAAUCAUCUGGACAAAUGAGGUUGACUGACUGAGCAGCAAUGGCACAAGAAGCAGCCCACCCAGUGGUGUGAGGUACAAAGAAGCAUAGAAUCCAUACACAUCUUCUUCAGUUCUUCUGAUCAAGAAAGCUUUCAUAUAUGAGAAUAAUAAGUAUUAAAAACAAGCCUAAGACAACAACAAAGGAAUGUCUAUACUUAUAAAAGCCAUCAAAUCCUCAAAAUUGAGGUGACCCUCAUGUCUAGCAAAUACUGUUGUUAUGAUUAGGUUUUCCAGCAAUACUAGGAAGAAAAUAUACAACUAGUAGGCAAUGAUCAUGGAGGUUUUCCAACACAUAUAUCCUCUGGUUGUGGUUAAAUGAUCAUUUUUAUGUUUAUUUAUUAUUGAUUUAUAUUAUUUAUUGGAAAAUGACAUUAAAUGGGAUUGUGAGAA
ensembl:lncRNA